GCCCUGGUGGUGCAACAGUUAAGUGCUUGGCUGCUAACCAAGAGGUUGGUGGUUCGAAGCCACCCAGCGGCU
rnacentral:tRNA from 1 species